CUUCCUUCAAUCUCGUCAAGUAACACACCACCAAUGGGGAAUCGACACUCCAUUUUUUUUGCAUUCUUCUCGUUGCAUCAACAUGUUAGUAAUUGCUCCUACAUUCAUCAUCUAACAAGUCACAAAGACUCCCAAAGUAAUCUGUAUGCCAAAUGGUCCCAUGCAUGCUGGUGCUACCGAAGCGUAAGUGAAUAAGCAUUGCCAGGCAUUAGUCAUGUAUCAUUUUGUGUUGCAGAAGGUGGAGGGGAAGACUGUGGUGUGCAAUGGCAAUGGCCAGGAUACAGAGAGGGGCAAGGAGGCGACAGCUGCCGGAGGAGCAGCAGGGGUAGUGAUCGUUGUGAACGCUAAAAGGGAACAAGGUCCUCCAUUUCCUGAACCUCACUAUCUCCAUAGAGCAAGUAUUUGUGACUAACUUUUCAAGAUUAACUUCUGUUACUGAAUGUUGUUAUGUAGUUUGAUGAUUAUUUGAAUGGUGUGUUCAAUCUGCAGGUCUCCAACACCAAGAAUUAUUAGUGUAACUGGUUUCAAUUUGCAUAAGUAAAAUUAUAUUUCAUAUAAAAAUUAUUAGUGUAACUGGUUUCAAUUUAUUACAAAGAAGAAGCAGAUUACAUCACCAAGAAUAUAAUAUCCAAAAAGUCAUUUAGGGGCAACAGGUGUCCAACACAGAGAAAUUAUAUGACGCAAUUUGGAGCCCAGCACACAGCAGCAUGCAGUCACCCACUUAUUUUCAUCCAGAGCUUUGGCAGCAUGCAUCAUCGAUCACCGAUAAGAAAGUACCGAUCAUCGAGCUGGGUAUUUUUAAUUUAUCGUCAUCACAUGCAACCAACUCGUCGUGGGUUGGCGUGGGUUGUGUAAUUGGUUAUUGAUUAAUGAGUGAGUGUGUGAGGUUGGAUGACGGUUAUCCCACUAACCCGCCAACAUCUAUACUAUAUAUUUAGACUUUUAUAAUCGAUUUUAUACUUUUUAGACUAAAUUUUUUAAUUUUCCGUUGUAAAUUGGAGGGUGUUUCAGCGGCUAACGUGUUUAUGAGAGUUGUUGUUUUGUGCGGGGAGAUUUAUAGAUGUUUGUUUGAGGUUUGGUGUGUUUUUUAUAUUGUUUGGUACGAUUGUCUAUUUAUAACUAUUGUUCUGUUGCUGAUGAUUUGGGUUUCAAUACCGUUAUACAUUUGAGGUUAAAUUUGGC
rnacentral:lncRNA from 1 species